rnacentral:rRNA from 1 species
AGAGUUUGAUCAUGGCUCAGAAUGAACGCUGGCGGCAUGGCUAAGACAUGCAAGUCGAACGGACCAUUUAAUUUAUUAGAUGGUUAGUGGCGAAAGGGUGAGGAAUAGAUAGGUAACGUAUCUUUAGCUUCAGGAUAGCGUCUGAGAGCUUCGGCUCUCUUCCGAAAGGGGCAUUAAUACUGAAUGAUAUCACUUGCUUAACUGCUUGUGAUCAAAGAUUUAUCGGCUUUUGAGCGGCCUAUCUCCUAUCAGCUUGUUGGUGAGGUAACGGCUCACCAAGGCGACGACGGGUAGCGGGACUGAGAGGUUGGCCCGCCACAUCGGGACUGAGACACUGCCCGGACCUCCACGGAGGGCUGCAGUAACGAAUAUUGGGCAAUGGGCGAAAGCCUGACCCAGCAAUGCCGCGUGCAGGAUGAAGCCCCUCGGGGUGUAAACUGCUUUCAGGGAUCAGAAAGCUACGGUUGAUCAAUCCCAGAAGAAGUCACGGCUAACUUCGUGCCAGCAGCCGCGGUAAUACGAAGGUGGCGAGCGUUAUUCGAAAUCACUGGGCUUAAAGGGCGCGUAGGCGGACAUGACAGUGCUUUGUGAAAUCCCCCGGCUUAACCGGGGAAUGGCUGGGCAUACUACAUGUCUUGAGGCAAGUAGGGGUGUGUGGAACUCUUGGUGGAGCGGUGGAAUGCGUAGAUAUCAAGAGGAACGCCGAAGGUGAAGACAGCACACUGGACUUGCCCUGACGCUGAGGGCGAAAGCGUGGGGAGCAAACAGGAUUAGAUACCCUAGUAGUCC